rnacentral:rRNA from 1 species
GACGAACGCUGGCGGCGUGCCUAAUACAUGCAAGUAGAACGCUGAAGGAGGAGCUUGCUUCUCUGGAUGAGUUGCGAACGGGUGAGUAACGCGUAGGUAACCUGCCUGGUAGCGGGGGGUAACUAUUGGAAACGAUAGCUAAUACCGCAUAAGAGUAGAUGUUGCAUGACAUUUGCUUAAAAGGUGCAAUUGCAUCACUACCAGAUGGACAUGCGUUGUAUUAGCUAGUUGGUGGGGUAACGGCUCACCAAGGCGACGAUACAUAGCCGACCUGAGAGGGGGAGCGGCCACACUGGGACGGAGACACGGCCCAGAAUCCUACGGGAGGCAGCAGGAGGGAAUCUUCGGCAAUGGAAGGAAGGCUGACCGAGCAACGCCGCGUGAGUGAAGAAGGUUUUCGGAUCGUAAAGCUCUGUUGUAAGAGAAGAACGAGAGUGAGAGUGGAAAGUUCACACUGUGACGGUAGCUUACCAGAAAGCGACGGCUAACUACGUG